CACUUUACUAUCUAUAUAUUUCCUACUGCAAUUAAUUAGUACUCAAUUUGUUGUUAUAUCUCUAAAAAAACAAAAGUUAAGAAAAUGGCAAAAUUAUAUGAGAAUGAAAACCCAGUAAAGGCAUUUGGAUGGGCAGCUAGAGAUGCUUCUGGUGUUCUUUCUCCUUUCAACUUUACAAGAAGAGCCACGGGUGAGAAGGAUGUGCAGUUCAAAGUUAUGUAUUGUGGAAUUUGUCAUUCUGAUCUUCAGCAGCUGAAGAAUGAAUGGAGCGAUAGCAUAUAUCCAAUGGUACCUGGAUAUGAAGUUGUUGGUGUGGUAACUGAGAUUGGUAGCAAGGUGGAGAAAUUUAAGGUUGGUGACAAAGUAGGUGUGGGAUGUUUGGUAGGAUCAUGUCGCAAAUGUGAAAACUGUGACAACAAUCUCGAGAUUUACUGUCCCGAUCAUAUAAUGACAUACAAUGGUAUUUACACCGAUGGAACCACCACGUAUGGAGGUUACUCUGAUAUCAUGGUAACGGACGAGCACUACGUGGUUCAUUGGCCGGAGAACUUGCCAAUGGAAGCUGCUCCAUUGCUAAAUGCUGGAAUCACAACUUAUAGUCCUUUGAAAUAUUUUGGACUUGACAAACCUGGAAUGCAUAUUGGUGUUGUUGGUCUUGGUGGCCUUGGCCAUAUAGCUGUGAAAUUUGCCAAGGCAUUUGGAACUAGAGUGACUGUUAUUAGUACAUCUGCUAGUAAGAAACAAGAAGCAAUUGNUCUUAAACGGGAGUUUAGAUAUAAGAAUAGUAAGUUUUCAUUUAUACAUGUAAACAGGCUGCAGCGGGCUCGCUUGAUGGCAUCAUUGACACUGUCUCUGCAGUUCACCACUCUUCCAUUGAUUAA